rnacentral:rRNA from 1 species
GGGUUUCCGCCCUUCAGUGCCGGAGCUAACGCAUUAAGCACUCCGCCUGGGGAGUACGACCGCAAGGUUGAAACUCAAAGGAAUUGACGGGGGCCCGCACAAGCGGUGGAGCAUGUGGUUUAAUUCGAAGCUACGCGAAGAACCUUACCAGGUCUUGACAUCUUGCGCUAACCUAAGAGAUUAGGCGUUCCCUUCGGGGACGCAAUGACAGGUGGUGCAUGGUCGUCGUCAGCUCGUGUCGUGAGAUGUUGGGUUAAGUCCCGCAACGAGCGCAACCCUUGUUACUAGUUGCCAGCAUUCAGUUGGGCACUCUAGUGAGACUGCCGGUGACAAACCGGAGGAAGGUGGGGACGACGUCAGAUCAUCAUGCCCCUUAUGACCUGGGCUACACACGUGCUACAAUGGACGGUACAACGAGUUGCGAACUCGCGAGAGUAAGCUAAUCUCUUAAAGCCGUUCUCAGUUCGGACUGUAGGCUGCAACUCGCCUACACGAAGUCGGAAUCGCUAGUAAUCGCGGAUCAGCAUGCCGCGGUGAAUACGUUCCCGGGCCUUGUACACACCGCCCGUCACACCAUGGAAGUUUGCAAUGCCCAAAGUCGGUGGCCUAAC